CUUUACUCAUGCCGCUGAGGUUAGGGUAAUAUUUUAUCCAUCUCCUCUUUUCACUGAGACGCAGUCAUUGCUGCUGUUGAGAGCCAGAGUCUGACCUCAGGUCUUCCAGGAGCUUAGAUCCUGCUGCACAGAACAUGAAAGAUGGACCCGUCAAGGAGAAGAGAGGAAUCUUCUGGGGAGUAUGGGGGAGCAGAGCAUGUGACCCCUGUGCAGCUGCUUCCUCUUAGAGUUUUCACCCAUGAAUCACACAUUCAACUUCCCGGAAGACGCAGGACGGCCCGACCUACAGAGCAGUAUGUAAGAAGAGAAGUAACCAGAUUCUACCUGCACUCUUGCCAACCCUAGAAGUUGCUAGGUUCAGGGCUAGGGUCUGCUGGGAAGGCUCAGGAAGACAGGAUGGCAUGGACAAGGCCAUCUCCCCAGAAGCCCUUCUUUCCUGCUGUUUGGAACACUGGCCUCAGGGAAGGGAUUGAGACUUGAACACCAUUGGGGGCUGUGGCCUCUGAGAUGCUACUUUCUCAUGUUGUGGAUAGUAUGAAUAAGGGGAUCUGGUGCCCACCAGGGGCAUGCCAGAGAGGAAAGAAAGAAACAGGAGCAAUGGAGAUGAGAGUAGGGUGUGUACCAAUAUGUCUCUCCCACCUUGAGAACCACUAAGAAAACCACCCAGAGGACAACAGAUGGAUAGAAAACUACAUUUUAAGCAGGAACCUUGCCCCGUUGAGGAAGGAGAAUAGAAAACACAAAUUGUGCUCUGCGAGCCCAUCUGGAGAAAACAGAAUACUGGAAUUAGCACAUAGAAACUGAUAAAGUGAAAAGAAGCUACGAGGGUUGGAGAAAUGGCUCAGAGGUUAUGAAAAUGUGCUACACUUCAGAGAACCCAAGUUCAAGUCCCAGCCCCUACAUCAGGCAACUCUUAAUCUCCUGGAACUCUGGCUUCAAGGAAAUCAAACAUCUCUGCCCUCUGUAGGCACCUAAAACCCCUGUGCACACAACCAGAGACACACGCUUACACAUUAGUAAAUAUAGUUCAAAAGAAAACAAAACAACCUGAGAAACAGAAAUGAGCUGUGAUUAACAAUGAGAACUUAAUUGAAGAGAUUCAAGGAAGCAUCUAAAGACGUGAAAAGACAUGGAAAGGAAGCAAUUGGGACAAAAAGCUAGAAGUUGAAAGAGGAAGCGGUGAUUGUGUACACAGUGUGAUUCCAGAAAGGGUGGGGUCCAGUGUGGCAAGAGAGGCAAGAGUUUGUGGUUAGCCUGAGCUACACAGCAAGAGACAGAAGCCUAAUCUUCCUCAAACAAUAGAAGGAAACAAAAUAUCAAAGUAGAAACAGAAACAGAACAACCAAGAAUGGUCAAUGACAGGAAGGGUAGGAAGAGGUGACAGAAUGACAGAAUGGUAGAGACAGUGCUAGAUUAUGUUAGUAAGGAGAAAGUGUUCUUAAAAUGUGAAUAGAAAAAAGUGUUAGUUAAUUUAAACAUAGAAAACAUGGAUAAGAUUUUACAAAACAAAAGAAUAAAGAGCGCCUGAGACCAGGGAGAGCCAAGAAAAUCCUAGGUGAGCAUCCGCACACAUUGAUUCAGAUAGCUUCAAUGAGCAUCUGUGCACGUCUAUGCCGGAAACUUAGAUGAGCACGCGAGCACAUGGAUGCAGGUAGCGUCAAUGAGCAUCCAUGCACCUUGAUGUGGGUAACUUUGGAAAGCCUGAGGAUCAUUUCCCAGUCCAGUGAAGUUUACUAGAAUGACCCCUAAUAGAUAUAACAUAUUUAGACAGGUUCUGCAGGAGAAAUAGAAAUGUGUGCCAGGUGCCACUCCUUAGAGAAUACAGAGUCCGAGGGGAUGUUGUGCACAUGGAAGUGCUGUUCCAGGAAACAGAUGCAAGGGCAUGUCCAGAUCAGUUUUAGGAGGCCUGAGUCAUGUCCACAGACAAUGGGGGACCCU
rnacentral:lncRNA from 1 species